GAAAACAGAAAGGCUGUGUCCCAAUUCGAGGGCUGCAGCCUCCGAAGGCUGGUUUUAAGGCCGCAUACGUCACUUCCGGUGAAAGAAGGCCUGUCCCAUUUCAUUUUUAUGUCAUGCAGCCUUCAAAUGCAGCCCUAAAACCGGCCUCGUUUCCAUGGAAAUGGGGCCGCGAACGGAGGACACAUCCGAGUAUCCUUCGCAGCCUUCAGUAUCCCAGCAUGCACCGCGCGGCGGCAGUCAGAUGUUCGAAAACACGGAGCAAAAAGCCGGUCCCGAGAGCGGAGAAAAACAUCCUCCUGUAUGAGGACGCGACACACUGCAGGGGCCACAGAACUGUUGGCUGACAAGAUGCUUGUGAUUCAUAAAAUGGGUCAAAUGCAGAUGACAAAGUAAAGCCAACGCUGAGCUGGAGGUGCUGACCCAGACUCCUGCCAACGAUUAGGUUUUCACUCUACAGGACAGAACUUUGAAUCAAUCAGACGCAACAACCAUUCUGCUCUUCCUCCUCCAGAAGACGAGAGACACAUCACACUGAGUGGUCCAAGUCCACUGUCCAUGUCUCCACUGUCCAUGUCUCCAAUGUCCAUGUCUCCACUGUCCAUGUCUCCACUGUCCAUGUCUCCACUGUCCAUGUCUCCACUGUCCAUGUCCACUGUCCAUGUCUCCACUGUCCAUGUCCAGAGUCUCUGAGGAGCAGGUCCAGAGUCUCAUAUGAUCUGAACAAGUGUGUGAGACAGAAAUGAAAACAUCUGCUCAUAAGUGUUUCUGAAUGUUUUUCAGCCUGUACUGACAUUUGAUUUAUGGCGAAAUGUGCCAUUUAUUUGGUGUCUCUUUUGAUAGUAACUAAUUACAUGUACUAUAAGAAUGUACUAUUGUACUGCAGAUAAGCUGUGGUAUUCCACAUGACCAUAUCUGGCAAAGAUAAUUUGUUCAUUUUUGAUUGUCACUUGCUUCAGCAAAAAGGGAACACAAUGAGAUUUACUGACAUACAGCUGUUUGUACUAACUUGUUAAUGCAGAGUGUGUGUAAUGGGUUUAAUAUUUGACUUCAUAUUAUGAUAAAGUAUUUCCAGAAGUUCCUUGGAUUGUUUAAUAAAUCAUCUUUUCUCAGGA